UGACCCCUACGGGAGGCAGCAGUAGGGAAUCUUCUUCAAUUUACGAAAGUCUGACCGAGCAACGCCGCGUGAGUGAAGAAGGUUUUCGGAUCGUAAAACUCUGUUGGUAGAGAAGAACGUUGGUGAGAGUGGAAAGCUCAUCAAGUGACGGUAACUACCCAGAAAGGGACGGCUAACUACGUGCCAGCAGCCGCGGUAAUACGUAGGUCCCGAGCGUUGUCCGGAUUUAUUGGGCGUAAAGCGAGCGCAGGUGGUUUAUUAAGUCUGGUGUAAAAGGCAGUGGCUCAACCAUUGUAUGCAUUGGG
rnacentral:rRNA from 1 species